rnacentral:tRNA from 2 species
CGAGAUGUGGCGCAGUUUGGUAGCGCGCUUGGUUCGGGACCAAGAGGUCGUGGGUUCGAAUCCCGUCAUCUCGACCA